CCUACGGGCGGCUGCAGUGAGGAAUAUUGGUCAAUGGACGAGAGUCUGAACCAGCCAAGUAGCGUGAAGGAUGACUGCCCUCUGGGUUGUAAACUUCUUUUAUAAAGGAAUAAAAGGAGGCACGUGUGCCUUUUUGCAUGGACUUUAUGAAUAAGGAUCGGCCAACCCCGGGCCAGGAGCCGCGGUAAUACGGAGGAUCCGAGCGUUAGCCGGACUUAUUGGGUUUAAGGGGAGCGUAGAUGGGUUGUUAAGUCCGUUGUGAAAGUUUGCGGCUCAACCGCAAAAUUGCAAUGGAUACUGGCAGUCUGGAGUACAGUUGAGGUAGGCGGAAUUCGUGGUGUAGCGGUGAAAUGCUUAGAUAUAACGAAGAACCCCGGUUGCGAAGGCAGCUUACUAAACUGGGACUGACAUUGAUGCUCGAAAGUGUGGGUAUCAAACAGGAUUAGAUACCCGAGUAGUC
rnacentral:rRNA from 1 species